GUCAGGGGUCUAGUCUGUAGACUGGUGGGGUCAGGUAGGGGUCAGGGGUCUAGUCUGUAGACUGGUGGGGUCAGGGAUCUAGACUGUAGACUGGUGGGGUCAGGUAGGGGUCAGGGGUCUAGACUGUAGACUGGUGGGGUCAGGUAUGGGUCAGGGGUCUAGUCUGUAGACUGGUGGGGUCAGGGGUCUAGACUGUAGACUGGUGGGGUCAGUUAGGGGUCAGGGUCUAGAUAGUGGAUUGAGGUGGGGGUCAGGUAUGGGUUCAGGGUCAAGAUAGUGGAUUGAAGUGGGGGUGGGGGUCAGGUAGGGGUCAUGGUCUAGAUAGUGGAUGGAGGUGGA